CAUCUUUCUGAGACAGAUGUAUGUUAGGUAAUCACCUGCGAAAUUUUCUCUCCACUUCUGCUUCUGUUUAUAUGAUAUUAUGAUUGGUAAGCCUCUGCACGAUGCCUCCCGGGCUUCUCUGAAGUUAAUCUAGUGACGGCGAAUGCCCCAAUGCACGUGCUAAAGAUCCGCCGUUUAGUGUUGCAGUUUAGCCUUUUUCUCCUUUCUCCGGCUGAUCUGUGUCAAAUCAACGGCCACAUCUAUUCCUCCUUUUCUUAGUCUUAUGAAUAUUUUGUGUUUAGUAUGCCUCUCCACACCUUUAGCUUGUUUUCGACUUAAUUGUAUGGGAAAUAAGGCUAGUCAUGGAGGCAAAUAUUAUUUUUUUGCAGUGUUAACGUGGGGGUAUGUCUUCUUCAAUAGCUUUGCCUCUAAAAAGAUUGUAGCAGAUGUUUU
rnacentral:misc_RNA from 1 species